CAGCCAAGCAAUGAGCACAAAGCAAACUAUUCUUUCGCCUUUUACUAAAGAAUACAGUGUGCUCGCCAUAUAUAGUUGCAUACCUUUUUUUGGAAAGUCUCUUUCCUUUGUUGGAGGGC